GAACGCUGGCGGCAGGCCUAACACAUGCAAGUCGAGCGCACCCUUCGGGGCGAGCGGCGGACGGGUUAGUAACGCGUGGGAAUGUACCCUUCUCUACGGAAUAGCCUCGGGAAACUGAGAGUAAUACCGUAUACGCCCUUCGGGGGAAAGAUUUAUCGGAGAAGGAUCAGCCCGCGUUAGAUUAGAUAGUUGGUGGGGUAAUGGCCUACCAAGUCUACGAUCUAUAGCUGGUUUUAGAGGAUGAUCAGCAACACUGGGACUGAGACACGGCCCAGACUCCUACGGGAGGCAGCAGUGGGGAAUCUUAGACAAUGGGCGCAAGCCUGAUCUAGCCAUGCCGCGUGUGUGAUGAAGGCCCUAGGGUCGUAAAGCACUUUCGCCAGGGAUGAUAAUGACAGUACCUGGUAAAGAAACCCCGGCUAACUCCGUGCCAGCAGCCGCGGUAAUACGGAGGGGGUUAGCGUUGUUCGGAAUUACUGGGCGUAAAGCGUACGUAGGCGGAUCAGAAAGUAGGGGGUGAAAUCCCAGGGCUCAACCCUGGAACUGCCUCCUAAACUCCUGGUCUUGAGUUCGAGAGAGGUGAGUGGAAUUCCGAGUGUAGAGGUGAAAUUCGUAGAUAUUCGGAGGAACACCAGUGGCGAAGGCGGCUCACUGGCUCGAUACUGACGCUGAGGUACGAAAGUGUGGGGAGCAAACAGGAUUAGAUACCCUGGUAGUCCACGCUGUAAACGAUGCAUGCUAGUUGUCGGCCCUUUGGGGUCGGUGACGCAGUUAACGCGCUAAGCAUGCCACCUGGGGAGUACGUUCGCAAG
rnacentral:rRNA from 1 species